rnacentral:tRNA from 1 species
GCGAGAGUGGCGGAACUGGUAGACGCACGAGACUUAGGAUCUCGCGGGCAACCGUGGGGGUUCGAGUCCCCCCUCUCGCA